UACGUGCCAGCAGCCGCGGUAAUACGUAGGGCGCAAGCGUUAUCCGGAAUAUUGGGCGUAAAGAGCUCGUAGGCGGUCUGUCGCGUCUGCUGUGAAAACCCGAGGCUCAACCUCGGGCUGCAGUGGGUACGGGCAGACUAGAGUGCGGUAGGGGAGAUUGGAAUUCCUGGUGUAGCGGUGGAAUGCGCAGAUAUCAGGAGGAACACCGAUGGCGAAGGCAGAUCUCUGGGCCGUAACUGACGCUGAGGAGCGAAAGGGUGGGGAGCAAACAGGCUUAGAUACCCUGGUAGUCCACCCCGUAAACGUUGGGAACUAGUUGUGGGGACCUUUCCACGGUCUCCGUGACGCAGCUAACGCAUUAAGUUCCCCGCCUGGGGAGUACGGCCGCAAGGCUAAAACUCAAAGGAAUUGACGGGGACCCGCACAAGCGGCGGAGCAUGCGGAUUAAUUCGAUGCAACGCGAAGAACCUUACCAAGGCUUGACAUAUAGAGGAAAGGUCUGGAAACAGUCCCCCCGCAAGGUCUCUAUACAGGUGGUGCAUGGUUGUCGUCAGCUCGUGUCGUGAGAUGUUGGGUUAAGUCCCGCAACGAGCGCAACCCUCGUUCUAUGUUGCCAGCACGUAAUGGUGGGAACUCAUGGGAUACUGCCGGGGUCAACUCGGAGGAAGGUGGGGAUGACGUCAAAUCAUCAUGCCCCUUAUGUCUUGGGCUUCACGCAUGCUACAAUGGCCGGUACAAAGGGCUGCAAUACCGUGAGGUGGAGCGAAUCCCAAAAAGCCGGUCCCAGUUCGGAUUGAGGUCUGCAACUCGACCUCAUGAAGUCGGAGUCGCUAGUAAUCGCAGAUCAGCAACGCUGCGGUGAAUACGUUCCCGGGUCUUGUACACACCGCCCGUCAAGUCAUGAAAGUCGGUAACACCUGAAGCCGGUGGCCUAACCCU
rnacentral:rRNA from 1 species